AGUGAACGCUGGCGGCAUGCCUUACACAUGCAAGUCGAACGGCAGCACAGAGGAGCUUGCUCCUUGGGUGGCGAGUGGCGGACGGGUGAGGAAUACAUCGGAAUCUACUCUGUCGUGGGGGAUAACGUAGGGAAACUUACGCUAAUACCGCAUACGACCUACGGGUGAAAGCAGGGGACCUUCGGGCCUUGCGCGAUUGAAUGAGCCGAUGUCGGAUUAGCUAGUUGGCGGGGCAAAGGCCCACCAAGGCGACGAUCCGUAGCUGGUCUGAGAGGAUGAUCAGCCACACUGGAACUGAGACACGGUCCAGACUCCUACGGGAGGCAGCAGUGGGGAAUAUUGGACAAUGGGCGCAAGCCUGAUCCAGCCAUACCGCGUGGGUGAAGAAGGCCUUCGGGUUGUAAAGCCCUUUUGUUGGGAAAGAAAUCCAGCUGGCUAAUACCCGGUUGGGAUGACGGUGCCCAAAGAAUAAGCACCGGCUAACUUCGUGCCAGCAGCCGCCGUAA
rnacentral:rRNA from 1 species